AUUUGUUGAGGUUACCAGUAGGCAGUAGCCAGUGUUCAAUUAUAGAAAGGGCGCGCGCAGACUGAGAAUGAGAAAUCAAACUUGGUGUGAUAAAGAGAAGACUAUGUAGACAGAUGGGGCCAGGUUUUCAAUAAGUGAGAUCACCUUACACUUUACAGGCUCAACUCUGUUAGUACCACAUCAUCCAAACGGUUAAAUGUCCACCAUCACAAACUUUGUUACCAACAUCAGCUUCUCGAAUACUCUCCUUUUCUAUUUUCACUGGAAAAGCAGUCUUCUCGUGAGUAUAACUGUCUUCAUGACGAGCGAAUUCCCGCAGUGGACUUGGAUCGGUCAUACGAUGUUUUAGUCCAGGGCGUUUAACGAGAGGACGAUUUUCCAGCUUCAUCGUUUUGAUGGCUGAUGAACUCGUUUUCAUUUCAUCACUACAAUAGUCAAAUUAUUAAACACAAGAAAGACUUCAAAUGAUCAAAUUCUUUUGAAGACCUUCCGUAGAGGAAAAAGAAAGUGUCCGUUGUUACCGGUGAAAGGAGAACGAAACUGGUAUUCAGUUGGAAAAUAUCUUUAUCGCUUAAGGUAAAAUGCUGACUUCGAAACAAGCGUAUUUGGAGGUAAAAUUUUGGCUUCAUUAAAGUAAAGACAUGUUCACCUAUAGAUACGUCGCUUUUCACUUACAAAAGGUGGACCUUUCUCGUUCUCAAAGCUCUCGACAGAUCUUCGUGUUCUUUACGUAACGUCCAAAUAUCACAAGGUUGCAUCACCUGUAAAUAAAAUAACAUUAUUAUGCGCACAAUAUAUAGAGGGAGUUUAUACAAUUAUUGACGUAAAAAUAAGACAUUGUUAAUAUAAUGUUAAGACAAACCGCGAGAAACAAUAUAGAAACCUUUUGAUUUGUACAUCUUUUGAAAACUACUUUAAGUUUACAACUCAACACUGGAAACGGAUCUUUCUUUUUAAAUAAAAGCCCCCUCAUUUCAAGAUGUGUAUAUUUCUUCUUUCAGCUAUAUGGUUCUAUUCAAAGUUUUCUCAUAUGCGUGGAGUUUUUUCCGGACAAAGAAGAAACAAGUGCAUAAUAGUUCCUGGACUCUGUGAGCAAUUUUUGUAUCACGAAGAAGAAAUACAGCAGUACUUAGUUAUAAAUUGAUAAAAUAUUGUAAACAGGAAGAAACAAUUUGAAUUUAUAACUGGAAACGCGUGUGAAAUACCGUCAUUCCUACAUCAUCCAAAGAUCCUUUGAAACGAUACAAAAUGUAUAAAGCUCAUCUCUAUUACCAUUACAGUA